AUUGAACGCUGGCGGCAGGCCUAACACAUGCAAGUCGAACGAGUGGCGGACGGGUGAGUAAUGUCUGGGAAACUGGCUGAUGGAGGGGGAUAACUACUGGGAACGGUAGCUAAUACCGCCUACCAUCGGAUGUGCCCAGAGGGGAUUAGCGAGUAGGUGGGGUAAAGGCUCACCUGGGCGACGAUCCCUCGCUGGUCUGAGAGGAUGACCAGCCACACUGGAACUGAGACACGGGCCAGACUCCUACGGGAGGAGGACGUGGGGAAUAUUGCACAAUGGGCGAAAGCCGGAUGCAGCCAUGCCGCGUGGAGGAAGAAGGCCUUCGGGUUGUAAAGUACUUUCAGCGGGGAGGCGUUACCCGCAGAAGAAGCACCGGCUAACUCCGUGCCAGCAGCCGCGGUAAUAC
rnacentral:rRNA from 1 species